rnacentral:misc_RNA from 1 species
AAGAAUAUUCUCCUUGUAGGAGGGAGUAUAGAUAGGGUCGGGGAAAGGAUUUGAUUGGUCUCAAAUUUAUCUUCUUCUUUUUUCCAUUUCAGGGAGGUAAGCUAAUAAUUUUUUUCUGAUGAAACUUAAAGAAUGGAAUGAUAUACAGUGGCUCUUUCACCUUUUGGCACAAGCUCUAUUUCCAUAGCAUUUCUCCAAGUGCCAUUUCAAGUCUUAAUAACUAUAUAUAAUUAUGUAUAUUCAUGUAAAAGUUGGUAUAUUCAGCAGGUGUAGUGGGAU